UGGGCGCAGCCUGAUGCAGCCAUGCCGCGUGUGUGAAGAAGGCCUUCGGGUUGUAAAGCACUUUCAGUCAGGAGGAAAGGUUAGUAGUUAAUACCUGCUAGCUGUGACGUUACUGACAGAAGAAGCACCGGCUAACUCCGUGCCAGCAGCCGCGGUAAUACGGAGGGUGCGAGCGUUAAUCGGAAUUACUGGGCGUAAAGCGUACGCAGGCGGUUUGUUAAGCGAGAUGUGAAAGCCCCGGGCUUAACCUGGGAACUGCAUUUCGAACUGGCAAACUAGAGUGUGAUAGAGGGUGGUAGAAUUUCAGGUGUAGCGGUGAAAUGCGUAGAGAUCUGAAGGAAUACCGAUGGCGAAGGCAGCCACCUGGGUCAACACUGACGCUCAUGUACGAAAGCGUGGGGAGCAAACAGGAUUAGAUACCCUGGUAGUCCACGCCGUAAACGAUGUCUACUAGGAGCUGGGGUCUUCGGACAACUUUUCCAAAGCUAACGCAUUAAGUAGACCGCCUGGGGAGUACGGCCGCAAGGUUAAAACUCAAAUGAAUUGACGGGGGCCCGCACAAGCGGUGGAGCAUGUGGUUUAAUUCGAUGCAACGCGAAGAACCUUACCUACACUUGACAUACAGAGAACUUACCAGAGAUGGUUUGGUGCCUUCGGGAGCUCUGAUACAGGUGCUGCAUGGCUGUCGUCAGCUCGUGUUGUGAGAUGUGGGUAGUCCCGCACGAGCGCAACCCCUAUCCUAGUGCCAGCGAUCGUCGGGAACUCUAGGAACUGGCGGUGAUAACGGAAGAAAGGUGGGACCGCCUCAAGUCAUCAUGCCUACGUGA
rnacentral:rRNA from 1 species